AUUUGGCAACCCAACACAGAACCCAAAAUGUUUCUUAAAAAUGAUUCUUUAAAAUGAAUUAAAAUUGUUUUGUUGAGUUUGGAUAGUUUCAUGUUUGUGGUAGAAAAAAAAUGACAGCAUUCGAAACAAACCGUGUUUAUUCUUAUUAAAAAGUAAACCUUUAUUAAACAUUGUUUGGUUUGUGCUUUUUCUGUUGUCCUGAACUGUGCAGCCCCCUUUUAUCCCAAUAACAGGCUGGGCACCACAGCAAACCAGGGGCAUAGAGCACAAGAACACGGCCAUUAGAAAAUGUUUACUUUAAAUAAAUGCAAAUUACAAAAGUUUUACUGUUGUACACACAAUUUUGACAACCACAAAGAAAGCAAAAGUCAAAACCAGUCAGGAACAACACAGCUAAAUGGAAAACCAAAAAUCUAAACUAUAUUUUAUAUAAAUCAUUUAUUGUCAUCUAUACUGGUCAACAUAUCAUAAAAUCAACCUAUCCUUGUUGUAAUUUGAAUUAAGAUUGGUACCAUUUGCCUAUGGUAUCACAUGACCGUAUUAAGCAAAUCAGGAAAGUUAUUGAGAUAAAACUUUGAGUGGACUUUCAUUCCACACCUCUCACGAUUUUGUAGUGCCUCUCUCAUUUCAUGUUGAAACUUUCUGAAUCUGCAGGUCAAUAUUUCUAUGAGGAGUUGUGAAGCGUAGGGACAUCUAUAACACAAAAUGACAUUGUGCAAAGGGAUUGUGCUUCUUUUCCUGGGACUGUUUUGUAAGGUUUCUGUGGCAGCAGAAAACUCGACUCAAGUUUACUUUUUUGAGCUUGAAAUAGAGUCAUCAGUAUAUGAUGAAUCGAACCUCACGAAGUUGUCACCUUUAAAUUUUGGAGAUUGGACUGUCUCAGACAUCAUCGUUACAGCAGGUA